UACAGAGGGUGCGAGCGUUGUCCGGAAUCACUGGGCGUAAAGGGCGCGUAGGUGGCGGCCCAAGUCCGUGGUGAAAGCUCGCCGCUUAACGGCGAGUCGGCCACGGAGACUGGGUGGCUCGAGCACUGUAGGGGCAGAUGGAAUUCCCAGUGUAGCGGUGAAAUGCGUAGAUAUUGGGAGGAACACCAGUGGCGAAGGCGGCUCACUGGACCGGAACUGACGCUGAGGCGCGAAAGCGUGGGGAGCAAACAGG
rnacentral:rRNA from 1 species